rnacentral:rRNA from 1 species
GUUGUGGGCUUUGCCACUGUCUCUUACCCAUGUCUUUUGAGUACUUACGUUUCCUCGGUGGGCUCGCCCGCCGGUUGGACAAUUUAAACCAUUUGCAGUUGCAAUCAGCGUCUGAAAAACAUAAUAGUUACAACUUUCAACAACGGAUCUCUUGGUUCUGGCAUCGAUGAAGAACGCAGCGAAAUGCGAUAAGUAGUGUGAAUUGCAGAAUUCAGUGAAUCUUCGAAUCUUUGAACGCACAUUGCGCCCCUUGGUAUUCCAUGGGGCAUGCCUGUUCGAGCGUCAUUUGUACCUUCAAGCUCUGCUUGGUGUUGGGUGUUUGUCUCGCCUUGCGCGUAGACUCGCCUUAAAACAAUUGGCAGCCGGCGUAUUGAUUUCGGAGCGCAGUACAUCUCGCGCUUUGCACUCAUAACGACGACGUCCAAAAGUACUUUUUACACUCUUGACCUCGGAUCAGGUAGGGAUACCCGCUGAACUUAAGCAUAU